rnacentral:rRNA from 1 species
CGCCGCGGUAAUACGUAGGGUGCAAGCGUUGUCCGGAAUUAUUGGGCGUAAAGAGCUCGUAGGCGGUGUGUCACGUCUGCCGUGAAAACCUGCGGCUUAACCGUGGGCGUGCGGUGGAUACGGGCAUCACUUGAGUUCGGUAGGGGAGACUGGAAUUCCUGGUGUAGCGGUGGAAUGCGCAGAUAUCAGGAGGAACACCGGUGGCGAAGGCGGGUCUCUGGGCCGAUACUGACGCUGAGGAGCGAAAGCGUGGGGAGCGAACAGGAUUAGAUACCCUGGUAGUCCACGCCGUAAACGUUGGGCGCUAGGUGUGGGGCGCUGUUCACGUGUCCCGUGCCGUAGCUAACGCAUUAAGCGCCCCGCCUGGGGAGUACGGCCGCAAGGCUAAAACUCAAAGGAA